GCCUGAGUGGCUCAGUCAGUUAAGCGUCCGACUUCAGCUCAGGUCAUGAUCUCACAGUUCGUGAGUUCAAGCCCCACAUCAGGCU
rnacentral:tRNA from 1 species